UACGGAGGAUCCGAGCGUUAUCCGGAUUUAUUGGGUUUAAAGGGUGCUCAGGCGGGCCAUUAAGUCGGCGGUGAAAUUUUGCGGCUCAACCGUAAAAGUGCCUUCGAUACUGGUGGUCUUGAGUGUGGAUGAGGUAGGCGGAAUUUGUGGUGUAGCGGUGAAAUGCAUAGAUAUCACGAGGAACUCCGAUUGCGCAGGCAGCUUACUAAACCAUAACUGACGCUCAGGCACGAAGGCGUGGGGAUCAAACAGGAUUAGAUACCCGCGUA
rnacentral:rRNA from 1 species